GCCACGGUGGCCUAGUGGCUAUGGCGCUCGGCUGCUAACCCGAAGGUCGCGGGAUCGAAUCCCGGCCGCGGCG